UGUUUCCUACGGGACGCAGCAGUGGGGAAUAUUGCGCAAUGGGCGAAAGCCUGACGCAGCGACGCCGCGUGAGGGAUGAAGGUCUUCGGAUCGUAAACCUCUGUCAGCAGGGAAGAACGGUCACUGUGCUAAUCAGCAGUGAAUUGACGGUACCUGCAAAGGAAGCACCGGCUAACUCCGUGCCAGCAGCCGCGGUAAUACGGAGGGUGCGAGCGUUAAUCGGAAUUACUGGGCGUAAAGCGCUCGUAGGCGGUAUGUCAAGUCAAGGGUGACAUCCCGGCGCUCAACGGGGGUACAGCCGUUGA
rnacentral:rRNA from 1 species